rnacentral:rRNA from 1 species
ACUCCUACGGGAGGCAGCAGUGGGGAAUAUUGCACAAUGGGCGCAAGCCUGAUGCAGCCAUGCCGCGUGUAUGAAGAAGGCCUUCGGGUUGUAAAGUACUUUCAGCAGUGAGGAAGGUGGGUAUGUUAAUAGCAUACUCAUUUGACGUUAGCUGCAGAAGAAGCACCGGCUAACUCCGUGCCAGCAGCCGCGGUAAUACGGAGGGUGCGAGCGUUAAUCGGAAUUACUGGGCGUAAAGCGCAUGCAGGUGGUUUGUUAAGUCAGAUGUGAAAGCCCGGGGCUCAACCUCGGAAUUGCAUUUGAAACUGGCAAACUAGAGUACUGUAGAGGGGGGUAGAAUUUCAGGUGUAGCGGUGAAAUGCGUAGAGAUCUGAAGGAAUACCGGUGGCGAAGGCGGCCCCCUGGACAGAUACUGACACUCAGAUGCGAAAGCGUGGGGAGCAAACAGGAUUAGAUACCCUGGUAG